AGUGAUGUUGAUGCUGGAAUAUGUUGUUACCGUUUCAAUUGUGCUAUUAUUAAAUGGUAAUAUUUAUAGUUUUGUUUGUUUCUAAAAUCCAAUUUUUUAAUAUGUUGUUCUUGACUUUUUGGGCACUUCUUUUUCUUCUUCCUCAAGGACGUUUGCCACUACUAUUUUUAAAGUUGGAUAAGAAGAACUAAUAAGCCAGUCUAAUAAAAAUAACAAAGAAGAGGUUUUGAACCCAGAAAAAGAAAUAUUGUGAAACAAAAGUUACCCAAAAACAUGUAAGUUUCUAUUCUCAAUCUUAAGCUUUUACUCUCAAUCUUUAGUCCAAGUAUUUCUUCAACAUUAUACCAUAAUAAUGGCAAUGCUUCAGUUUUCUAUGUUACCUUUCUAAUUCUUCAUUUUCUUUCUCAUCUUCUUUUCUUUGGUGGGUUCUAUAAAACAACACUGUGUAAAUUAAGAUCGAAAGGGCCAAUUUGUAGUUAAGGGUAAAUACUUCCCUAUGACCAUCAAGAGGUAAAGUUUUUUCAUCCUGAAAGUAAUAGUUUACAUAUACAUUAUACUUUUUGGUAUUUUCUAAUGGUUGAUUCGGUUCCAUUCCCAGGUUAAAGAUUAUAUUAAUAUUUUUAGUCUGAGGAUUUGUGUUUGGUUGUUUUUUGGUGUUGGGUUUUUGAAAGAUGGGCAUGACUAAUAAACUCACCCUUGCUUAAGAUGCACAUAAUUCAUUAAAAAAUGCUUGAGACAUGGAUGCUAUAUUGGUGGUCAUGAAGUUGAUCAAACCAUUUAGUAGAAAGUUGGAUAUCAUUGUGUUUAAACUUUGGUAGGACAAUUGUUGACGAUACAAAUUAUCUCAUCUAUGCAUUUUUAUGGUAUGGAAAAUGUUGCUUUGGUUAUGUACCAACAAAUAGUUGGCACAAACGCACACUUAAUUGAAAUUAAAUUAAUUGUUCUGUCCACCAUUAUUUGUAUGCACAUAACUUUCUUUAAUGUGGAAUAUAUAACCAUUUUUCUCUGACC